UACGUAGGUGGCAAGCGUUGUCCGGAUUUACUGGGCGUAAAGGGCGUGCAGGCGGUUUGUUAAGUGCAGGGUGAAAGCUCCCGGCUCAACUGGGAGAGGUCCUUGCAUACUGGCAAACUCGAGGGAGGCAGAGGAAAGUGGAAUUCCCGGUGUAGUGGUGAUAUGCGUAGAUAUCGGGAGGAACACCUGUGGCGAAGGCGGCUUUCUGGGCCUUACCU
rnacentral:rRNA from 1 species